rnacentral:lncRNA from 1 species
UGUGGUAUGUCCCUUCCUUUUGGUGUCCCUCUAGUGGUUAUAAAAUGGCCAGGCCAUUGGGUGUUCGAGGCAUUCAGAAAGGUUUCCAAUUUCUCUCCAUAGCUCUCCCUUCUUUCUUACAACCUAUCUUAGUUUUAGGACAAGACUUUAGAAUUUAAGACGAAACCUUAUCUGAUCCUAACAAAGGUUGUGAGGGUCCUAAAGAUGAAGAAUCAGAAGUUCAGAGGUGGUUCUCAAAGGGUCGAGUCAGGUUCUUGGAGAAACCUGACCGAUACAGGGCUAGUUGAGUUUUAGGGGCCAGAACUCUUGAAGCA